UAUUUAAUGAUGAUAAGUUAAUACUGAAGUUUUAUUUUGCUGAUUUUAACUUAAAUUAAACCAAAAGGAUUCUGACAAAUU